AGGGAAGUAGCUCAGCGGUUAGAGCGGCGCCUCGUGCGCAGGCCGUCGGUUCGAUUCCGACCUUCUCUG
rnacentral:tRNA from 2 species